rnacentral:rRNA from 1 species
GGGUUGUGAGGUUAAGCGACUAAGCGUACACGGUGGAUGCCCUGGCAGUCAGAGGCGAUGAAGGACGUGCUAAUCUGCGAAAAGCGUCGGUAAGGUGAUAUGAACCGUUAUAGCCGGCGAUGUCCGAAUGGGGAAACCCAGUGCAAUUCGUUGCACUAUCGUUAACUGAAUACAUAGGUUAACGAGGCGAACCGGGGGAACUGAAACAUCUAAGUACCCCGAGGAAAAGAAAUCAACCGAGAUUCCCCCAGUAGCGGCGAGCGAACGGGGAGCAGCCCAGAGUCUGAAUCAGCUUGUGUGUUAGUGGAACGGUCUGGAAAGUCCGACGGUACAGGGUGAUAGUCCCGUACACCAAAAUGCACAGGCUGUGAACUCGAAGAGUAGGGCGGGACACGUGGUAUCCUGUCUGAAUAUGGGGGGACCAUCCUCCAAGGCUAAAUACUCCUGACUGACCGAUAGUGAACCAGUACCGUGAGGGAAAGGCGAAAAGAACCCCGGCGAGGGGAGUGAAAAAGAACCUGAAACCGUGUACGUACAAGCAGUGGGAGCACCUUCGGGUGUGACUGCGUACCUUUUGUAUAAUGGGUCAGCGACUUAUAUUCUGUAGCAAGGUUAACCGUAUAGGGGAGCCGCAGGGAAACCGAGUCUUAACUGGGCGUUAAGUUGCAGGGUAUAGACCCGAAACCCGGUGAUCUAGCCAUGGGCAGGUUGAAGGUUGGGUAACACUAACUGGAGGACCGAACCGACUAAUGUUGAAAAAUUAGCGGAUGACUUGUGGCUGGGGGUGAAAGGCCAAUCAAACCGGGAGAUAGCUGGUUCUCCCCGAAAGCUAUUUAGGUAGCGCCUCGUGAACUCAUCUUCGGGGGUAGAGCACUGUUUCGGCUAGGGGGUCAUCCCGACUUACCAACCCGAUGCAAACUACGAAUACCGAAGAAUGUUAUCACGGGAGACACACGGCGGGUGCUAACGUCCGUCGUGAAGAGGGAAACAACCCAGACCGCCAGCUAAGGUCCCAAAGUCAUGGUUAAGUGGGAAACGAUGUGGGAAGGCACAGACAGCCAGGAUGUUGGCUUAGAAGCAGCCAUCAUUUAAAGAAAGCGUAAUAGCUCACUGGUCGAGUCGGCCUGCGCGGAAGAUGUAACGGGGCUAAACCAUGCACCGAAGCUGCGGCAGCGACACUAUGUGUUGUUGGGUAGGGGAGCGUUCUGUAAGCCUGCGAAGGUGUGCUGUGAGGCAUGCUGGAGGUAUCAGAAGUGCGAAUGCUGACAUAAGUAACGAUAAAGCGGGUGAAAAGCCCGCUCGCCGGAAGACCAAGGGUUCCUGUCCAACGUUAAUCGGGGCAGGGUGAGUCGACCCCUAAGGCGAGGCCGAAAGGCGUAGUCGAUGGGAAACAGGUUAAUAUUCCUGUACUUGGUGUUACUGCGAAGGGGGGACGGAGAAGGCUAUGUUAGCCGGGCGACGGUUGUCCCGGUUUAAGCAUGUAGGCUGNNNNNNNNNNNNNNNNNNNNNNNNNNNNNNNNNNNNNNNNNNNNNNNNNNNNNNNNNNNNNNNNNNNNNNNNNNNNNNNNNNNNNNNNNNNNNNNNNNNNUCCAGGCAAAUCCGGAUAAUCAAGGCUGAGGUGUGAUGACGAGGCACUACGGUGCUGAAGUAACAAAUGCCCUGCUUCCAGGAAAAGCCUCUAAGCAUCAGGUAACAUCAAAUCGUACCCCAAACCGACACAGGUGGUCAGGUAGAGAAUACCAAGGCGCUUGAGAGAACUCGGGUGAAGGAACUAGGCAAAAUGGUGCCGUAACUUCGGGAGAAGGCACGCUGGUGUGUAGGUGAAGCCCCUGCGGGUGGAGCUGAGACCAGUCGAAGAUACCAGCUGGCUGCAACUGUUUAUUAAAAACACAGCACUGUGCAAACACGAAAGUGGACGUAUACGGUGUGACGCCUGCCCGGUGCCGGAAGGUUAAUUGAUGGGGUUAUCCGUAAGGAGAAGCUCUUGAUCGAAGCCCCGGUAAACGGCGGCCGUAACUAUAACGGUCCUAAGGUAGCGAAAUUCCUUGUCGGGUAAGUUCCGACCUGCACGAAUGGCGUAAUGAUGGCCAGGCUGUCUCCACCCGAGACUCAGUGAAAUUGAACUCGCUGUGAAGAUGCAGUGUACCCGCGGCAAGACGGAAAGACCCCGUGAACCUUUACUAUAGCUUGACACUGAACAUUGAGCCUUGAUGUGUAGGAUAGGUGGGAGGCUUUGAAGCGUGGACGCCAGUCUGCGUGGAGCCAACCUUGAAAUACCACCCUUUAAUGUUUGAUGUUCUAACGUUGGCCCCUGACCGGGGUUGCGGACAGUGUCUGGUGGGUAGUUUGACUGGGGCGGUCUCCUCCCAAAGCGUAACGGAGGAGCACGAAGGUUAGCUAAUCCUGGUCGGACAUCAGGAGGUUAGUGCAAUGGCAUAAGCUAGCUUGACUGCGAGCGUGACGGCGCGAGCAGGUGCGAAAGCAGGUCAUAGUGAUCCGGUGGUUCUGAAUGGAAGGGCCAUCGCUCAACGGAUAAAAGGUACUCCGGGGAUAACAGGCUGAUACCGCCCAAGAGUUCAUAUCGACGGCGGUGUUUGGCACCUCGAUGUCGGCUCAUCACAUCCUGGGGCUGAAGUAGGUCCCAAGGGUAUGGCUGUUCGCCAUUUAAAGUGGUACGCGAGCUGGGUUUAGAACGUCGUGAGACAGUUCGGUCCCUAUCUGCCGUGGGCGCUGGAGAAUUGAGGGGGGCUGCUCCUAGUACGAGAGGACCGGAGUGGACGCAUCACUGGUGUUCGGGUUGUCAUGCCAAUGGCACUGCCCGGUAGCUAAAUGCGGAAGAGAUAAGUGCUGAAAGCAUCUAAGCACGAAACUUGCCCCGAGAUGAGUUCUCCCUGAGACUUUAAGUCUCCUGAAGGAACGUUGAAGACGACGACGUUGAUAGGCCGGGUGUGUAAGCGCAGCGAUGCGUUGAGCUAACCGGUACUAAUGAACCGUGAGGCUUAACCUUACAACGCCGAAG